CGUGUUUGUUCUGCGAACAGUAGGCAGUUGUUUUCCAUCCGGCUUCUCUCACACUGAAGUGCGCACCUCCACCUCAUGGAAGACUCGAUGGACAUGGACAUGAGCCCUCUUAGGCCUCAGAAUGACCUUUUCAGUUGUGAACUAAAGGCUGACAAAGACUAUCACUUUAAAGUGGAUCAUGAUGAAAAUGAGCACCAGUUAUCAUUAAGAACGGUCAGUUUAGGAGCAGGGGCAAAAGAUGAGUUGCACAUCGUAGAGGCAGAAGCAAUGAACUAUGAAGGCAGCCCAAUUAAAGUAACAGUGGCAACUUUGAAUAUGUCUGUACAACCAACAGUUUCCCUUGGGGGCUUCGAAAUUACACCACCUGUGGUCUUGAGGUUGAAGUGUGGUUCUGGGCCUGUGCACAUAAGUGGACAGCACCUAGUAGCUGUAGAGGAAGAUGCAGAGUC
rnacentral:lncRNA from 1 species